CGAGCCGGCCGGGCGGCCGCGUCGGGGCCCGGCCUUCGGGCCAGGCUCCGCCGAGGAACGUCCGGGCUCCACAGGGCAGGAUGGUGGGUAACGCCCACCCGGGGUGACCCGCGGGACAGUGCCACAGAAAGCAGACCGCCGGGCCCGUAUCCGUACGGGACCCGGUAAGGGUGAAACGGUGGUGUAAGAGACCACCAGCGCCCAGGGCGACCUGGGCGGCUAGGUAAACCCCAUCCGGAGCAAGGUCAAGAGGAGCCGUCGGCCGACGGCUCUGCGCGGACGACCGAGGGCUGCCCGCCCGAGUCCGCGGGUGGACCGCAAGAGGCCGGCGGCGACGCCGGUCCCAGAUGGAUGGCCGCCUCCCCCGGCGCCGCGAGGCUACGGGGAGACAGAACCCGGCGUACAGGCCGACUCGUCCG
rnacentral:RNase_P_RNA from 1 species